GUUUCCUCAUGUUCAGAUCCAGAUUGAGCAUUGUUUUGUUUUGUGUUUUGGCAAGAAUACCCCCCAAACGGCAUUGUGUACUUUCAGUUGCAUCACAUCAGGAGGUACGUUUCAUUUUGUCCCAUUAUUUGUUUGGUGACCGUGUUGUCUGCCAAAAGUUCUCCAUUGUAGUAGUACUUUUUCCUGUUUGUAAUUAGCAAGUAUUCUUUUGAGACCGGGUGACUGUCGUGUUUCCAGCAGCCUUUCAUCAGCAGCUCUCGUGUUCAGGGACUACCCUUGCCUCCACGCACGCUGCGUUGGUGGCUGCAGAGCGGCACUCUGCUGGCUCCUUCUGCCCCCGCCAGUUUCUAGGUCCUCACUCAUAGACUUUCCUCCUGGAUUCUGAACCGAGGACUUAAUUCAGCCUUUGCUACCUCCUGACCCACCGAGCCAGCCCGGAUCCCACGUUUCUGCCCUGGGGUCCUGCUUUCAGCGGCUCACCUCCGCCCAUGUGACAGCCCCGGGGUCUGGGUGACUUACUCCUGUGUUUCUCCCUCAGCCUGGGUUGUCAGCCUUUCCUUAGUUCUUAGAUCCCAAAUGCUCACUCAUUGUACAUAAUAACCUAACAACAAAAAUCGUGGGAUUCCUAAAAGUAACGACUUCAGAAACUGAGAUGUUGCAGAUUGUCUGGGAAGUAUAUAAGGCUCUGCUCUUCAUUGGCCUGCUCUGUUCCUGCGGUUUUCUCUGCAGAAUCAAGGUCAGGCAUUAACAAGGUCGGAGGGCGCCUGCUGCGGUCCAGAGCAGUCAACUCUCUUCUCACAAACGUCGCAGCACUGUGUUGGUUCCACACCUCCUCCUCGGCUCCCUCUCUUUGCUGCAUUUUCCCCCAUGCUUUUUUUUUCCUCAGUCAAUUAAAUAAUUUGGCUGCAU